AAGAGGGAAAAGAACUCAUAAAUCGCCUCCACGUCUACUUUUUCUCUCUCCCCUAAUUCCUUCCCCAACCAAGUGAAAUCAACAAAAAAACCCUGGUCACGUCAGAUUUUUUCUUCCUCGUUGAUUUCUUCAGUGAGCUAGAGUUACCUCCUUCGCACUGCUCCCACCAGAAACUCUCAGCUUUGUCCCUGUGUUCGAAUAAAUUGGGGGAGGGGGUUUGAUCUUUGCCAACGUUGUUCAGAUCUGAAAUCCCGAUGGUGGGAGACUUCGUCGGCGACGACGGCGUUCCCUACGCCGACCCCAACGGCCCCGGUCAUAUGCUGCACUAUGUUCGACACCGUCUUCCACGGCUUCUCGGCCUCCCUGCCCCCUCCAGAGCGACGUGAAUCUCAUGAAACCCCUCCAUCCUCGCCGUCUCCCACAGUUCGAGCAGGAUCGUGGGGUUCUUAAAGUCGAGAGGUGGAGCUUUUCCUCUGGUUGUGUUCAGUAUGUACAAACACCUUUGUGCCCAAAUUCACUGCAGAAGGCAGACCUUAACAGAAGCCUGUCAAGGAACCAACAGUUGAAUCUGAAUGGCUUUAUGCAUGGCUCUCAAGGUCUCCAGACAGGGUCUGUUCAAGCAAAUUUUCAAGGAGAUGCUAUGGUCUCUGAUAGUAAUAACUUAACACAGAGAAGCUCCUCUUCCUUUUUAUCACAAACUUGUCUCUUGCAUGAUUUUCUCAAGUUCUAUUUGUGUGUUUUUUAUUUGUGGAGCUUGGUUAGGUGUUGUGGAGCCUGAUUGUGUUGUGGAGCCUAAUUGUGUUGUGCUUUUGUUCU